rnacentral:rRNA from 1 species
GACGAACGCUGGCGGCGUGCUUAACACAUGCAAGUCGAACGGAAAGGCCCUGCUUUUGUGGGGUGCUCGAGUGGCGAACGGGUGAGUAACACGUGAGUAACCUGCCCUUGACGUUGGGAUAACUUCAGGAAACUGGGGCUAAUACCGGAUAGGAGCUCCUGCUGCAUGGUGGGGGUUGGAAAGUUUCGGCGGUUGGGGAUGGACUCGCGGCUUAUCAGCUUGUUGGUGGGGUAGUGGCUUACCAAGGCUUUGACGGGUAGCCGGCCUGAGAGGGCGACCGGCGACAUUGGGACUGAGAUACGGCCCAGACUCCAACGGGAGGCAGCGGGGGGGAAUAUUACACAGUGGGCGGAAGCCUGAUGCAACAACGCCGCGUGCGGGAAGACGGCCUUGGGGUUGUAAACCGCAUUCGCCUGUGACGAAGCGUGAGUGACGGUAAUGGGAGAAGAAGCACCGGCUAACUACGUG